rnacentral:tRNA from 1 species
GUCUUUAGCUCAGCUGGAUAGAGCGACGCACUACGAAUGCGUAGGUCGGGGGUUCGAAUCCCUCAAGG